rfam:Clostridium sp. CAG:7 genomic scaffold, scf363
CUUCAUAAAGCAGAUUUCAUAUGUAUAUCCCGGAGAUAGGUCCGGAGUUUCUACCAACUGCCGUAAAUAGUUGACUACAUAGUACAUGUAGCUGUGA